rnacentral:rRNA from 1 species
GCCUACCAAGGCGACGACGGGUAGCCGGCCUGAGAGGGCGACCGGCCACACUGGGACUGAGACACGGCCCAGACUCCUACGGGAGGCAGCAGUGGGGAAUAUUGCACAAUGGGCGAAAGCCUGAUGCAGCGACGCCGCGUGAGGGAUGACGGCCUUCGGGUUGUAAACCUCUUUCACCAGGGACGAAGCUAACGUGACGGUACCUGGAGAAGAAGCACCGGCUAACUACGUGCCAGCAGCCGCGGUAAUACGUAGGGUGCGAGCGUUGUCCGGAAUUAUUGGGCGUAAAGAGCUUGUAGGCGGUCUGUCGCGUCUGCUGUGAAAGACCGGGGCUUAACUCCGGUUCUGCAGUGGGUACGGGCAGACUAGAGUGUGGUAGGGGAGACUGGAAUUCCUGGUGUAGCGGUGAAAUGCGCAGAUAUCAGGAGGAACACCGAUGGCGAAGGCAGGUCUCUGGGCCAUUACUGACGCUGAGAAGCGAAAGCAUGGGGAGCGAACAGGAUUAGAUACCCUGGUAGUCCAUGCCGUAAACGUUGGGCGCUAGGUGUGGGACUCAUUCCACGAGUUCCGUGCCGCAGCUAACGCAUUAAGCGCCCCGCCUGGGGAGUACGGCCGCAAGGCUAAAACUCAAAGGAAUUGACGGGGGCCCGCACAAGCGGCGGAGCAUGCGGAUUAAUUCGAUGCAACGCGAAGAACCUUACCAAGGCUUGACAUACACCGGAAUCAUGCAGAGAUGUGUGCGUCUUCGGACUGGUGUACAGGUGGUGCAUGGUUGUCGUCAGCUCGUGUCGUGAGAUGUUGGGUUAAGUCCCGCAACGAGCGCAACCCUCGUUCCAUGUUGCCAGCACUUCGGGUGGGGACUCAUGGGAGACUGCCGGGGUCAACUCGGAGGAAGGUGGGGAUGACGUCAAAUCAUCAUGCCCCUUAUGUCUUGGGCUUCACGCAUGCUACAAUGGCCGGUACAGAGGGUUGCGAAACCGUGAGGUGGAGCUAAUCCCAAAAAACCGGUCUCAGUUCGGAUUGGGGUCUGCAACUCGACCCCAUGAAGUCGGAGUCGCUAGUAAUCGCAGAUCAGCAACGCUGCGGUGAAUACGUUCCCGGGCCUUGUACACACCGCCCGUCAAGUCACGAAAGUCGGUAACACCCGAAGCCGGUGGCCUAACCCUUGUGGGGGAGCCGUCGAAG